rnacentral:rRNA from 1 species
UCCUACGGGAGGCAGCAGUGGGGAAUAUUGCACAAUGGGGGGAACCCUGAUGCAGCAACGCCGCGUGAGUGAAGAAGUACCUCGGUAUGUAAAGCUCUAUCAGCAGGGAAGAAAAUGACGGUACCUGACUAAGAAGCACCGGCUAAAUACGUGCCAGCAGCCGCGGUAAUACGUAUGGUGCAAGCGUUAUCCGGAUUUACUGGGUGUAAAGGGAGCGCAGGCGGCGCGGCAAGUCAGAUGUGAAAGCCCGGGGCUCAACCCCGGGACUGCAUUUGAAACUGCCGGGCUAGAGUAUCGGAGAGGCA